ACUCCUUCUGCACAGUUCACAAGGAGCGGACCCGGACAGUCUCUCCAUGACUUGUUCCGAAUCCUCCACAGGUACGCAGGUCAGGCGACACAGCCAACACGGAAUGGUCGAGAUGCAGGAGCAAGGAGGCUCGCAGCCGGCACACGGGGAAGACUGGGCAGCGCUCACCUCAGUUCUCCUCGGGCUUGUCCGCGGGCGGCCCGCUGGGCUGCAGCAUUUUCUCCAUCAGGUUGAACCGCACGCGGGCUUUGCUCUCGUUCUCGGCAAUGGCGAAGUAGUUGAGGAGGUCGAAGUGGCCCAUGUAGGAGCAGUAGGAGUCGCGGUGCUGGUUCACCAGCCAUUCCCACUUGGUGGUGUCGGCGUGGCCCGUGCCGAUGUACUUGGACUGCAGAUGCUCCAGCUGGCUGUGGAUGGUGUACCGGUCCGUCAUCGCGCCGCUCUGCUCGUAGGCUCCGAGGUCAGGACACAGACGAGAAGCUGCCGCUCGCGGCGUUCAAGUGAGAGACGCUGCCGCUGCCGGUGCCGCCGCCGCCACGCAAAACCUCAGUUCGUGCAGGCGCGGGAGAAAGACGCCACCGAGACGCAGGAGUAGACAGUCUUUUCCUAGGCGGAAGCGGAAGUGCCGUCUGUCGCGGGAUUGGAGUUGCCUAGGAAACACUGGGCCGUCUCCUCACGGAGCCCGCCUACUUCGAAGAGUGUUGCAUGAUGGUCCGCUUAGUGGCUCUCGGGUGAUCACGUUCUAGUCUGAGCGUUGCAUUCUGGAACAAGUAGUCCAAAGAGUUUGUUUUAGGGUUUUGUUUUGUUUGUUUUGUUUUUGCCUGGCUGCUGUAGGACGAUGGCAAACGGCCUCUGAGAGUUAUCCCACGGCUCUGGGCUACUAAGAAGGGGAAAUCCAAGAGGGUUUCAACUACAAGCAACCAGGAAAAUUAACUCUUGUACCUAGAAGCUAACGUGGCAGCAUGGUUCCCCCGCGGUCCCAGCUUUGUCUCUUAGAAUUUGGGCACUGGGAAAAGUAUUUUUGGUGAUCAGUGUCAGCCCCAGUAGUCUCACUAAUGGCUCCCACAACGAGCUCCAGGCUCCCGUUUCUCAACCCAUUGAGGGGUUGUUUGCUCUAGGUCACUCAAAAGCUAUUCCUUGAAGUCAGAUGUGGUUCAAGACUAGAUAGAUAGAUAGAUAGAUAGAUAGAUAGAUAGAUAGAUAGAUAGAUAGAUAGAUAGAUAGAUAGAUAGAAAGAACACCUCUCUUUCUAGUCACCUGUGUUUUUCUGCUGAUUACUGCCUUACGUUGGGGGUUGUGCACUUUCUCACGUUACAAACAACUCAGAAAAGAUAAUUGUACUUCUUUUAUGGUAUCCCUUAAGGAUACAUGUAUAGCCUGAUGUAGAUUGUACUCUCAAAAAACCAUUUUAGGAAUGGGGUAAGAGCAGUCACAGCCAAAGAGAAUGGACAAUGACAGACAAUUUGAAAAUACAGGAGUUUGGGGGUACUUUUGUUUACUUGGUGGGGGGAGGAUCUGGCCCUGAGCUCACAGCAAUCCUCCUGCCUUUGCCUCCUGAAUGCUGGGAUUAGAGGUGAGUUCCGCUCCAUCCAAUAUUAAUUCUUCUGUUUAAAUUUUGUCAUAAUAAGCAUCAUGCCAGGUGGUGGUGGCACACACCUUUAAUUCCACCACUUGGGAGGCAGAGGCAGGCAGAUCUCUGAGUUCAGGGGCAGCCUGGUCUACAGAGCUAGUUUCAGGACAGCCAGGGCUACAAGGAGAAACUCUGUCUCAAAAAAAAAUAAAACCAACCAACACCAAGACUUAGACAACAUAAUACACAUCUUAUUCCUAAAAUAUAGAGACUAUACGGCAAUACCUGUGGAUAUGCCAUCCAGCCAUACUAUACCUGUCUCUUAUUAUUUAUUUAUUGAGACAGGGACUCAAAUUCUCUGCACCUGCUUCAGACUUUGAAGUGAUCUAUCAGAGGCUUAGUCACCUUGUCAGGCUUCAUUUUAACCCUUUAAUUGUUUACUGUUUCACUGUCGUUUCUUUUGGUUUGCAGGGGUUUUGUUAUUGUUUUUUGUUUGUUUGUUUGUUUGUUUGUUUUGUUGGGUUGGGUUUUUGAGACAGAGUCUCUCUGUGUAGCCCUGCCUGGCUGGCCUGGAACUCACUUUGUAGACCGGUCUGGCCUCAAAUUCACAUAGAGGCCUGACCUCAAAGUCACAGAGAUCUUCCUGCCUCUGCCUCCCUAGUGCUGAGGUGAAAGGUGUGUGCCAGCAUCACCCUGCUGGUCUGUUGUAUUUCUGCUGCUGUCCAUUGCGGAUUUAAAUUCUUCACUCAUUUCUUCUCGGCUCCUCUCCUCCCCAAGUUGCUUUCAGUCACAGUGUCCAUCGCAGCAAUAGGAACUCCGACUGAGACAAUUAGAUCCCCAUGAACACCCUUCUAGUAAAAAAUAAGACAAAAAACUAGUGGGACGCCAGUGUUAUUAAGUGUGGCUUAAGAAUAUGAAAACGUUCCUGAAGUCAAAAGAGCCUAGGAAGAAGUCGCACUCAUAUGCAUCCAUUGAGAGUCAAGUGUCCCUUGCUAGCUCUGCCAUAGCAAGAACCUAUGGAGGGGCCUAAACAACAGGAAUCUAUGUCCUCACAGUGGAGAGAAGGGAAGUUCAACAGCAAGAUGUUGGUUAUAUUCCAAGGCCCCUCUUAGCUUGUACGUGCUAUCUUCUCUCUGAGUUUUGACAUUCCUUCUAUAUCUAUGUCCUAAUGUCCCCUUCCAUGACACCAGUCACACUGGAUCAGGGCUCACUCAUGGGACCUCGUUUUACCUUAGUUAUGUUUUUAUGGCUGUGAUAAGACAGAGCUAUUUGGGGCUUACAGUUUCAGAGCAUUAGAGUCCUUGGCCAUCAAUGUAGAGAACAUGGUGGCAGGCAUUUCUCUAGAGCAACAUCUGAGAGCUCACAUCUUGAGACACAGGUACAUUUUCAGGUCCUGGAGGUCCGGCCUUCCCUAUGUUAAUUUUAGUGGGGCAGAUUUCAACCAUUAACACUUAUAUAUGGUGAUAUGGAAUAAGCAAGAGACUUCUAUUGUUGAUGUUUUGUUGCAAUGCUGGCACAAACCCAGAGCUUAUUUAGGCAAGUGCUGUACUACUGGGAGUGCCUUAGCCCCACAUAUUUAAGUUAAUUAUAUUUAUGAAGACAAUGUAAAAACUUGAAAAGGAUUUUUGUUGAUAAGUCUUUUUGCAAUGCCUAUAGAAAAUGAACAAUAUGUGUAUAUUAGUAAGUGUAAAAUGUUUAAACAUCAAAACUUUGAAUGGAAUUCUGAUUUUUUUAAAAGCCCCUCAGAAAUGAUUUGUAAAAUGUAUUAGGCUUAUAAGUAUAAUAGAAUUUUCAGGCAAACUUAAAAGUUUGGAGAAAGAAAGGCAGUUUUGAUCUGUAAUUUUGAUAAGUAGAGCACUAACUUUUAUAACCUAAGUAAAUUGCUGAGUACUUUCUGUGUGUUCCCAGAUGACUUUUAGAUUUUGUUUUCCUGCAACAGGGUCUCGCUCUAUAGGCUGGCCUGGAAUUUGAAUUACUCCUGUCCCUGUCUUCUGAAUCCUGGGAUUACAGCUGAGAGCCACCACCCCAGCCCAAAUGACAUUUAAGUCAUCCCAAAGCCCUCACAUUUAACUCUGUCAGCUUUCAGAUAGUAGAAAAACUCAGCAUAAUUUUAAUAAACAUUAUAUUAAAUUUAU
rnacentral:lncRNA from 1 species